rnacentral:rRNA from 1 species
GCAAGCGUUGUUCGGAAUGACUGGGCGUAAAGCGCGCGUAGGCGGGAUAAUAGGUCGAUUGUGAAAUCCCCGGGCUCAACCUGGGAACUGCAGUCGAAACCGUUGUUCUUGAAUAUCUGAGAGGGUGGGGGAAUACCUAGUGGAGCAGUGAAAUGCGUAGAGAUUAGGUGGAACACCGGAGGCGAAGGCGCCUGCCUGGCAGAAUAUUGACGCUGAGGCGCGAAAGCGUGGGUAGCAAACAGGAUUAGAUACCCUGGUAGUCCACGCCGUAAACGAUGGAUACUAGUUGUUUGGGGAGUUAACCCCCUGAGUGACGCAGCUAACGCAUUAAGUAUCCCGCCUGGGGAGUACGGUCGCAAGGCUAAAACUCAAAGGAAUUGACGGGGGCCCGCACAAGCGGUGGAGUAUGUGGUUUAAUUCGAAGCAACGCGCAGAACCUUACCUUCCCUUGACAUCCCGGGACAAUCUCAGAGAUGAGACUUUCUCUUCGGAGACUCGGUGACAGAUGCUGCAUGGCUGUCGUCAGCUCGUGUUGUGAAAUGUUCGGUUAAGUCCGGCAACGAGCGCAACCCCUGUCCUUAGUUACCAUCAUUAAGUUGGGGACUCUAGGGAGACUGCCGGUGUUAAACCGGAGGAAGGCGGGGAUGACGUCAAGUCCUCAUGGCUCUUACGGGAAGGGCUACACACGUACUACAAUGGUAGAAACAAAGGGUUGCGAAACCGCGAGGUCAAGCUAAUCCCUAAAACACUAUCUCAGUCCGGAUUGGAGUCUGCAACUCGACUCCAUGAAGUUGGAA